UUUCGAAUCAUUCACAAUGGGGGCAACCCUGAUGGUGCGACGUCGCGUGAGGGAUGAAGGUCUUCGGAUUGUAAACCUCUGUCACAUGGGACUAAACGUAAGGUUUAUAGCCUUACCUGAAUUAACUAUGAGAGGAAGUAGUGGCUAACUCUGUGCCAGCAGCCGCGGUAAUACAGAGACUACGAGCGUUACUCGGAUUCACUGGGCGUAAAGGGAGCGCAGGCGGAAAUGUGUGUUAGGUGUGAAAGCCCGAGGCUUAAUUUCGGAAUUGCGCCUAAAACUACAUAUCUAGAGACUUGGAGGGGUAAGCGGAAUUUCUGGAGUAGCGGUAAAAUGCGCAGAUAUCAGAAGGAACACCGAUGGCGAAGGCAGCUUACUGGACAAGAUCUGACGCUCAGGCUCGAAAGUGUGGGUAGCAAAAG
rnacentral:rRNA from 1 species